AUGAAGCUGUUAUGUUUCCUCCUUUUUCUGGCGACAGCUUCCCAGUGUGUCCUGUCCCAGGUGCAGCUGAAGGAGUCAGGCCCAGGCCUGGUGAAGCCGUCACAAACCUUGUCUCUCACCUGCACUGUCACUGGUGACUCCAUCUCUAGUGCUUAUUAUGCUUGGAUCUGGAUCCGCCAGCCCCCAGGGAAGGGCCUGGAAUGGCUGGGAGUUGGUUACUACAGUAGAUCAUCAUGGAAUACAAACUAUGGCUCCUCCAUCCAGGGCCGAAUCUCCAUCAUUGCCGACUCAUCCAAGAACCAGUUCUCCCUGCAGCUGAGCUCUGCGACUUCCGAGGACACAGCCGUGUAUUACUGUGCAACAGGCACAGUGAAGAGAAGUCGGUGUGCCCCAAGACACAAACCUCCCCUGAAGGGAGAGGACUGGCCUACAGGAGGCGCUCAGAAUGCGUGGAGCACAGAGAGCAUCUCAGGAGCAGGUGCAGAGGAAGACUGA